CGGGAUGUAGCGCAGUCUGGUAGCGUACACGCCUGGGGGGCGUGGGGUCACAGGUUCAAAUCCUGUCAUCCCGA
rnacentral:tRNA from 2 species